AGUGAACGCUGGCGGCGUGCUUAACACAUGCAAGUCGAACGAGAACGGGUUAUAGCUUGCUAUAAUUGUCAGCUAAGUGGCGCACGGGUGAGUAAUGUAUAGGUAAUAUGCCUCUUACUAAGGGAUAACAAAUGGAAACGUUUGCUAAUACCUUAUACUCCUUAUUAACAUAAGUUAAUAAGGGAAAGAUUUAUUGGUAAGAGAUUAGCCUGUAUUGUAUCAGUUAGUUGGUGGGGGUAAUGGCUUACCAAGACUAUGACACAUAACUGGUUUGAGAGGAUGAUCAGUCACACUGGAACUGAGACACGGUCCAGACUCCUACGGGAGGCAGCAGUGGGGAAUAUUGCACAAUGGACGAAAGUCUGAUGCAGCAACGCCGCGUGGAGGAUGACACAUUUCGGUGCGUAAACUCCUUUUAUAUGAGAAGAUAAUGACGGUAUUAUAUGAAUAAGCACCGGCUAACUCCGUGCUAGCCGCCGCAUAA
rnacentral:rRNA from 1 species